GCCUCUUUAUCUAAUUUUCUAUUAAUUUUCUUACAAAUGGGCAAGAUACACUUAAUAUAUAAUAUUUUUAAUCCUUGGGUUAUAUCAAAAUUAACAUUUAUAUCCCUGAUUGCUUGAAAAAUUAGUACUUAGUCCUUGUAUUUUAACUUUAUUAAAUUGAAUAAAUUAAUGUUUUUCGGAGGGAUUUCAAUUUGACGAAGUCAAAAUAUAUGGAUUAAAAUAUUGAGAUUUAAAAAUAGAGAGACCUCACAAGUUUUUGUCCGCAGAUCGUUUGUGAAAAUGCUCUAGUUGACGCUAAAGGAUUAGCAUUACAAAAGUCGGUCUAACUCUGCAACAAGUUCGCCAACUAAGUCAUAUUUGAUAUUACCCAACUCCAAAAUAGUCACUCAUGAGUUUUAUGCGCAAAUCAUUUGUAAAAAUGCUUCAAAUGGUAAUGAAUGUUUAUACUUAAAAAAGUGGAUAAUGGAACUCCGGAACAAAUUUUUUCAAUUAAGCUCAUAUUUGGUAUUUCACAACUCAUGGAACAAGUUUUUCAAUUAAGCUCAUAUUUGGUAUUCCACAACUCAUGGAACAAGUUUUAUGUGUAAAUAAUUUGUGAAAAUGCUCCAAAUACUGAAAAAAUUGGUUCAGGUGCUUCGAAAAAAGUUUAUCAACUGAGUUCAUAUUUGAUAUUUUUCAACUAAAAAGGAUCCAGAAAUGUUUAUAGGGAAACAAUUUGUGAAAAUGUUCCAAAUAAAGAUGAAAAUUUGUUUUAUAAAAGUGGGUCUCGGAAUUCUGAAAUAAGUUUGUCGACUAAUUUCAUAUUUGAUAUUAUUCAAUAUCAUUUGUGAAAAUGAUAAAAAUGACGAAAAAGUUUACCUUUAUAAGAGUGUAUUCUGGAGCUCCAAAAUAAGGUUGCCAACUGAGGAUGCUUCAAAUGACAAUAAAAGUUUACUUUUUCAGAAGUAGGUCUUGAGCUCGGAAUAAGUUUGCCAACUGAAUACUAUAUGUGUUAAUUUUGAUAUAACUUAAGGAAUAAAAGUAAUUUGCCCUAAAUUUUUUGUUGUUUUUCCUAGUAUAUUCUUAUUAUUCUCCACUUCUAUUGAUUUGUCGCUUAAUUAUGCUUAGAACUAAUAAAUUUUUGUUUGCAAAUAUGUAUUAAAUCGGGAUAUAUUAGAAAGCUAAUAAAAAAAUUACCAUCUCAAAGAAGAAAACAGUCUAUAAUAACAAGAAAAUAAUCUUAUCUUUGUGGACAGUGGGAUCACGGGAGUACGUUAGCAUAUUAACUUGAAUUAUUUAAUUACCUAUCUUAUUAUUUUUUGAAGCAUAUAAAUUUUCUCUUAUUUAUUCUACUAUAAAAAUUUAAUAUCCUAAAAUUUAUUUUUCAUUGAUAUUAAUUAAUUAUUAUGAGAAUUUUAUUCUAAGUAUUUCUUUUUUAACUGAAUGUUG
rnacentral:lncRNA from 1 species